CUGGGUCAUGGAUUGGUUUCUUCAUUCAUUUAGUUCCAUUUAUCCUCGAUGAGGUCACUGAUUUCCUGGACCCUCAGUUGAUGUUUUACUCAUGUCGAUGCCUUUGGAUUCUGAAACUCAGGGUUUGUGAUCAUUGGGAUAUCUCUUCCAGUUUUGGGAAAGGAUCUUCUACAUUUGGUGGGCUUCCCUCCCGGCAGUUCCAUACUGCAAACCCACACGGCGGAAGGAUAAAACUGACAGGUUUCAAGCAGGAGCUAUACAAGACAAAGCAGUCUGAUACAGUCAAGCCUACAGCCAGAGGAAAGUAAGAAGACACAUGAACACUGACACUAACAACCCUUGCCUCAUCCUGUCUUUCUAAUUAUCUACGAAAAUGACAUAUGUGUGCUGUUCCAAGUAUGUCUCUGAGACAAAUCUCAGUCAAGGUCAUGUGAACCCACAGAGGAAGUUCCAAUGACAAAGUGUUCGGUGGAAAAGACUGAGCUGGGAUGAGACUAGUUUAUCCCCUUUUCUACAAGUUCUUCUGCACACAGAUACUUAGUGAUGGCAGGAACUUCAGAGCUCUGGUUCUUAUCGUCAGAGCCCCUUUCUGUAGGUAGGUGGCUGUCCUAGUGACUUCUCUAUUGCUAUGAUGAAAUAUCAUGACUAAGACCGCUUAGAGAAGGAAAGGGUUUAUUGGGGGCUUGCAUAUAGUUUCAGAGGUUGAGACACGACCAUCAUGGCAGGGUGCAUUGCAGCAAGCAAGCAAGCAUGGCAGUGGAGUAGUAACUGAGAGCUUAGGUAGUCAUCCAAGUGGAAUGGUGUUGGGCUUUGGAAACCUCCAAGUCCACACCCAGAGAAAUGCCUCCUCUAACAAGGCCACACCUACUCACCCUUCCCAAACAGUUUCCACUAAAUGGGGAGCAAAAAUUCAAACAUGAGUUAUGGGGACCAUUCUCAUUCAAAUCACCACAGUGGUUUUCCUUUUUGUUAUGUGUUUCCCUUAGCUUGGUAACCAGGCUACAAUCCACAGCCCCAGAGAAGCUAGGUAGCAAGGAGGAUUCAAAGAGGGAUGCAUGGAUUUCCCUGGGAAGGGGAAGGAGAUGAGAUCUCCUGGGUAAACUGGGGGUGGAUUGGGGGAUGGAGAGAUGAGAAAAUAAGGGAUUGAGUUUGUCAGGUUGGGAUAGGGACAGAGGGGAAGAGUAAUGAAAGGUAUAUCUCAAUAGGGGGACCAUUUUGGGGUUAGGGAGUAACCUGGUGCAAGGGAAACUCCCAGGAAUCUUCAAGUAUGACCCCAGCUAUGACUCCUAGCAAUAGUGGAGAGGGAGCCUAAACUGACUUUCUCCUGUAAUCAGAUAGGUGACUACCCUAAUUGUCAUCAGAGAACCUUCAUCCAGUAAUUGAUGGAAGCAGAUGCAGAGAUCCAUGGUCAAGCACUGGGUUGAGCUCCAGGAAUCCAGUUGAAGAGAGGGAGGAGGGAUUAUAUGAGCCAGGAAGAUCAAGAUCAUGACAGCAGCACCCAGAGAGACAACUGACCUGAGCUAGUGGGAGCUCACGGAUUUUGGACCAACAGCUAGGGAGCCUGUGUGGGACAAACCUAGGUCCUCUGUGUGUGGAUAGUUAAAUAAACUAUGGUAUAUUUACACCAGUGAGUUCUAUGCAUAAACAGUCACUUGGAUGACUCCAUGAUAUUACACUGAAUGAAGAGGAGCCAACUCCAAAACAUUUUUCUUUAUGUAUUUCCACUUGCCUAACAUGUUUAAAAUGACUAGGUUUCAGGAAUGGAAGACAGAUUAGUCAUUGCCAAAGCCAGAGGACAGGGAAGAACUCAAGAGCGGAAACAUAUUUGAGGAGUAGAAAACUUUCUUAUGCCUAGCUCAAACUUGGCUCAGUACUAGGGGCCAUGAAGACUCUGGAAUCUCUCUAAGGAGCUGGGUAACCUUGGGGAGGUGUGUGAUGCCUGACGGUUAAUUUCAGCACCUCCAGAGCAGGAAAGAGGCUGGGGUUGUUGUUCUCUAUAGCACCCAUCUUCAGAGGGUCCUCGGAUUCCCAAAUACUGUCAGAGAAGGUUUAAAAGAGGAUCCACUUAACAGCUCUUGUCGGCAGCUAGCAUCUAGUCAUCACUAGCAUAGGACAGGCAAGCAGAACUAUCAACCAAUUGCUACCUGAUUAUAAGCCCUGCAAGGAUUCUUCCAGCAACCCAAGCAGAUUCCUCAGAUGCCACUAAAGGCGAAGCAGAGGAACAACUGUACUCUGGCCAUCCAUCCUUCAGUGUUAUUUAUGAAGUUCAGACGUGAUCUUCAAGAGUCUCGAGAUUUGCAGUGUUGGCUUCGCCCUCAACACAACUGUGUUCCAUCAUUCACGGUUGUCACCAUUGUGACUGUCUAGAGGCUGCUGCUAAGGAUCCAUGAAAUGCUCUCUUUCUGGAAGGCCACAGGCCACUUGACCCUGGGCUCGUGUGUUUACAGAACUCCAAGUGCAGCUAUUAAAGACAUUGCUGCCCAUUUACAGACUGACGCUGGUUUGCUUUGUGCCCACAUGUCUCUUUAACCUCUGUUUCCUUUGCAGGGAAGAAAGAGAAUAUUUUCUCUCACUUUUCUUGUUGAAAUUCCAAUUGCUCCCCCAGAGGGAUCUCUCUGAGAAGCCACGGGGAACAAAGGCAAAGGAACUCAUACUCUGUUGCUCUCACUGUCUGUUCUAAAUAUGCAUGAAAAAUUCUUCUCUUUCCUCCCUGGUCUGGAUUUGGCUGAAAGUGUUUGCUGGGUAACAGGAAACCUAUGAGAAAAUCAGAGGCUUCAGUCCCUUGUGCCCCUCCCAGCCCUCAGAUCAAAGACACUUGGGGCUUAAAACUUUUUUAAAAGCUCUAAAAUUCAAGAUCAGAUUUAAAAUUCUGAAAUCAAUAUCAUAUUGCUGUUCUGCUCAAUGCUAUUUAUUCAUUUAUUUAUCUACCUUUUUGAAUUUGUAGACAGAGACUUACUACAUUACCCUGGCUGGCUUGUUUUUAUAUAAUCAUUAUACACGUGGCUCAUGGCUUUCUUUGAAAACAAGUAUUACUGGAAAAUGUACAUGUUUGCAGAUACAUAGCAUUUUGCAUUAUGGUUUCAGGGAGUCUCAGGCCAGCUAAACUGCCCUCAGCCAACCUGGGGACGGCAGCUGUGAGUUAGAACUAAAAUAUUAGGUAAUCAAGAGAAGGAAAUAGUCAACUAAAUAUGUAAAGCAAAGAAGUGUCUGUCUUAUGCUCCAAAAUUCUGAA